AUUGAACGCUGGCGGCAGGCCUAACACAUGCAAGUCGAGCGAGCGGCGGACGGGUGAGUAAUGUAUGGGGACUGCCCGAUAGAGGGGGAUAACUACUGGAAACGGUGGCUAAUACCGCAUACUUUCGGCUAACCCAUUUGGGUUUAUGUAGUAGGUGGGGUAAAGGCUCACCUAGGCGACUAUCUUUAGCUUGUCUGAGAGGAUGAUCAGCCACAAGGGGACUGAGACACGGCCCAGACUCCUACGGAGGCAGCAGUGGGGAAUAUUGCACAAUGGGCGCAAGCCUGAUGCAGCCAUGCCGCGUGUAUGAAGAAGGCCUUAGGGUUGUAAAGUACUUUCAGCGGGGAGGCGUUACCCGCAGAAGAAGCACCGGCUAACUCCGUGCCAGCAGCCGCGGUAAUAC
rnacentral:rRNA from 1 species